AGGACGAACGCUGGCGGCGUGCUUAACACAUGCAAGUCGAACGGAAAGGCCCUUCGGGGUACUCGAGUGGCGAACGGGUGAGUAACACGUGGGUGAUCUGCCCUGCACUUCGGGAUAAGCCUGGGAAACUGGGUCUAAUACCGGAUAUACCUCAUGGGAUGCAUGUUUUGUGGGGGAAAGCUUUUGCGGUGUGGGAUGGGCCCGCGGCCUAUCAGCUUGUUGGUGGGGUGAUGGCCUACCAAGGCGUCGACGGGUAGCCGGCCUGAGAGGGUGUCCGGGCCACGACUGGGACUGAGAUACGGCCCAGACUCCUACGGGAGGCAGCAGUGGGGAAUAUUGCACAAUGGGCGCAAGCCUGAUGCAGCGACGCCGCGUGGGGAUGACGGCCUUCGGGUUGUAACCUCUUCAGUAGGACGAAGCGCAGUGACGGUACCUACAGAAGAAGCACCGGCCAACGUACGUGCCAGCAGCCGC
rnacentral:rRNA from 1 species